CCGCCGUGAGGCGGUGCCUAAUGCAGCCGAAGGACUGUCACAAGCCAGUGAAAAUGCAGAGUGGACA
rnacentral:ribozyme from 1 species